UGCCAGACUCCUACGGGAGGCAGCAGUGGGGAAUAUUGGGCAAUGGGCGCAAGCCUGACCCAGCAACGCCGCGUGAAGGAAGAAGGCUUUCGGGUUGUAAACUUCUUUUCUGAGGGACGAAGGAAGUGACGGUACCUCAGGAAUAAGCCACGGCUAACUACGUGCCAGCAGCCGCGGUAAUACGUAGGUGGCGAGCGUUGUCCGGAAUUACUGGGUGUAAAGGGAGCGUAGGCGGGAGAGCAAGUCGACUGUGAAAUCUAUGGGCUUAACCCAUAGCUGCGAUCGAAACUGUUCAUCUUGAGUGAAGUAGAGGCAGGCGGAAUUCCUAGUGUAGCGGUGAAAUGCGUAAAUAUUAGGAGGAACACCAGUGGCGAAGGCGGCCUGCUGGGCUUUAACUGACGCUGAGGCUCGAAAGCGUGGGUAGCAAACAGGAUUAGAUACCCGAGUACUC
rnacentral:rRNA from 1 species